CCCUUCGGGGACAAAGUGACAGGUGGUGCAUGGUUGUCGUCAGCUCGUGUCGUGAGAUGUUGGGUUAAGUCCCGCAACGAGCGCAACCCUUGAUUUUAGUUGCCAGCAUUUAGUUGGGCACUCUAAAGUGACUGCCGGUGCAAGCCGGAGGAAGGUGGGGAUGACGUCAAAUCAUCAUGCCCCUUAUGACCUGGGCUACACACGUGCUACAAUGGAUAGUACAAAGGGUCGCGAAGCCGCGAGGUGGAGCUAAUCCCAUAAAACUAUUCUCAGUUCGGAUUGUAGGCUGCAACUCGCCUACAUGAAGCCGGAAUCGCUAGUAAUCGUGGAUCAGCAUGCCACGGUGAAUACGUUCCCGGGCCUUGUACACACCGCCCGUCACACCACGAGAGUUUGUAACACCC
rnacentral:rRNA from 1 species